rnacentral:rRNA from 1 species
UACGUAGGUGGCAAGCGUUACUCGGAAUCACUAAGCGUAAAGCGCAAGCAGGCGGUUCGGUAAGUCUUUUGUGAAAGCUCCCGGCUCAACUGGGAGAGGUCAAGGGAAACUACCGGGCUAGAGUGUGGUAGAGGAAGCUGGAAUUCCCGGUGUAGCGGUGAAAUGCGUAGAUAUCGGGAGGAAUACCUAUGGCGAAAGCAGGCUUCUGGGCCAUCACUGACGCUGAGUUGCGAAAGCUAGGGGAGCAAACAGG